rnacentral:rRNA from 1 species
UUACUGGGCGUAAAGCGUGCGUAGGCGGUGAGUGAAGUCUGCUGUGAAAUCCCUGGGCUCAACCUGGGAAUGGCGGUGGAUACUGGCUUGCUAGAGUACGGUAGAGGAAGGUGGAAUUCCCGGUGUAGCGGUGAAAUGCGUAGAGAUCGGGAGGAACAUCAGUGGCGAAGGCGACCUUCUGGACCAGUACUGACGCUGAGGCACGAAAGCGUGGGGAGCAAACAGGAUUAGAUACCCUGGUAGUCCACGCCCUAAACGAUGCGAACUGGAGGUUGGGUGCAACUUGGCACGCAGUCUCGAAGCUAACGCGUUAAGUUCGCCGCCUGGGGAGUACGGUCGCAAGACUGAAACUCAAAGGAAUUGACGGGGGCCCGCACAAGCGGUGGAGUAUGUGGUUUAAUUCGAUGCAACGCGCAGAACCUUACCUGGCCUUGACAUGUCCGGAAUCCUGCCGAGAUGCGGGAGUGCCUUCGGGAAUCGGAACACAGGUG